UGUGUCACACGCACGUUGAUACGUCCCUGCCCUUUGUACACACCGCCCGUCGCUCCUACCGAUUGGAUGACUCGGUGAAAUCACCGGAUGCUUACGAGCAGAAAGUGAUUAAAUCACGUUAUCUAGAGGAAGGAGAAGUCGUAACAAGGUAACGGUAGGUGAACCUGCCGUUGGAUCAGUU
rnacentral:ncRNA from 1 species